rnacentral:lncRNA from 1 species
CUGGAAGCAGUAUUUGGAUGGUGAUGGGGAUGAACACAUGUCCAAUCAAAGUCGUACUGGUAAUGAUGGUGUUGCUGUGUCCGUUUGAUGAGAGAGAAUUAAUUGGGAGUCAGUAGAUGCCAGUCUUAUCAUGCGACUCAGUCUGAUGCCAUUACUUGAGCCGUCUGAUCUUAUUCUUCUUUUUCCUUUUCCGGGUGAAUGCUUUCUUCUUGGUCUGAGAUAUAACUACGUGGGCCCCACCCCCUUCCGUCCUUUUAUUUCGUUUUCAUCAUCAUUUUGCAUUUUCGUCCUUGCAUCCCUCCUCAUUUUUUUAAUAAGUAUUUUAACUCUCCAUGUUUUUAAAAUAAUUA